rnacentral:rRNA from 1 species
AGAGCAUAUGGAGAAUGCCUAGGCGCUAGGAGCCGAAGAAGGACGUGGUAAGCUGCGAAAAGCUACGGGGAAGUGCAAGCAACUAAAGAGCCGUAGAUAUCCGAAUGAGGAAACUCAUACAGGUUAACAUCUGUAUAUUCCAUAAUGAAUCCAUAGUUAUGGGAGGGGAACCCGGAGAACUGAAACAUCUAAGUACCCGGAGGAAGAGAAAGAAACAUCGAUUUCGUCAGUAGCGGCGAGCGAAAGCGAAAGAGCCCAAACCUAAGUGGGAAACCACAUAGGGGUCGACACUCAGAAAGCAUUGAAGAACUUAGUCGAAUAUGCCUGGAAAGGCAAACCAAAGAAGAGUAAAAGUCCCGUAGACGAAAAGAGAAACAAGCAAGAGUGAUCAAGAGUACCACAGGACACGAGAAACCCGGUGGGAAGACGGGGGGACCACCCCCCAAGGCUAAAUACUACCAAGCGACCGAUAGAGAACAGUACCGUGAGGGAAAGGUGAAAAGAACCCCGGGAGGGGAGUGAAAAAGAACCUGAAACCAUAUGCUUACAAACUGUAGGAGCAAGCAAGCAAUUGCAAGUGACUGCGUACUUUUUGUAGAACGGGCCAACGAGUUGCGAUAUGAUGCAAGGUUAAAUACUUAAGGUAUGGAGCCGAAGCGAAAGCGAGUCUUAAGAGGGCAAGAGUACCAUAUUGCAGACCCGAAACCGGGCGACCUAUCCAUGUCCAGAUUGAAGUUUCCGUAACAGGGAAUGGAGGAUCGAACCCACGUACGUUGAAAAGUGCGGGGAUGAGGUGUGGAUAGCGGUGAAAUUCCAAUCGAGCCCGGAGAUAGCUGGUUCUCUCCGAAAUAGCUUUAGGGCUAGCGUUUUGCAAGAUAUAUAUGGAGGUAAAGCACUGACUGUCCAAUGGGUCUUUUAGAUUACUGAGGAUUAUCAAACUAAGAAUGCCAUAUAUAGCGCAAAGCAGUCAGACUAUGAGUGAUAAGGUCCAUAGUCGAGAGGGAAAGAGCCCAGACCAACAGCUAAGGUCCCAAAAUAUAUGUUAAGUGGGAAAGGAUGUGAGAUUGCAUAGACAACCAGGAUGUUGGCUUAGAAGCAGCCAUACAUUUAAAGAGUGCGUAAUAGCUCACUGGUCGAGUGAUCCUGCGCCGAAAAUUACCGGGGCUAAAACAUAAUACCGAAGCUUUGGAUUAUACUGUAGAGUAUAGUGGUAGGAGAGCAUCGUAUACAGUAAGAAGCAGAAUCGAAAGAAAAAGUGGACCGUAUACGAGAGAGAAUGUUGGCAUGAGUAGCGAGAGGAAGGUGAGAAUCCUUCCGGCCGAAAACCUAAGGUUUCCUGAGGAAGGUUCGUCCGCUCAGGGUAAGUCGGGACCUAAGCCAAGGCCGAAAGGCGUAGGUGAUGGACAACGGGUAAUAAAUCCCGUACCACCGUAGUUGAAUGAGCGAAGGGGGGACGCAGGAGGAUGACCGGAGCACGCCGUUGGUAGAGCGUGUCCAAGCAGAAAGCGAGUAAGACCAGGCAAAUCCGGUAAUACAAUCGUAAUCUGUGAUGGGGAGUGAAAAUAAAGUAGCGAAGCUGAAUCAUUCAAACUGCCAGGAAAAGCCUCUAGCAAGACGAAGGUGCCCGUACCGCAAACCGACACAGGUAGGUGAGGAGAGAAUCCUAAGGCCAGCGAGAGAACUGUUGUUAAGGAACUCGGCAAAAUAACCCCGUAACCUAGGGAGAAGGGGAGCCUGUGAGAGCAGGCCGCAGAGAAUAGGCCCAAGCGACUGUUUACCAAAAACAUAGGUUUCUGCAAAACUGCAAAGUGAAGUAUAGGAGCUGACGCCUGCCCGGUGCUGGAAGGUUAAGGGGAAGACUUAGAGCAAUCGAAGGUUCGAACUUAAGCCCCAGUAAACGGCGGCCGUAACUAUAACGGUCCUAAGGUAGCGAAAUUCCUUGUCGGGUAAGUUCCGACCCGCACGAAAGGCGUAACGAUUUGGGCACUGUCUCAACAACAGACUCGGUGAAAUUGUAGUGCCGGUGAAGAUGCCGGACACCUGCGACAGGACGGAAAGACCCCAUGGAGCUUUACUGCAGCUUAGCAUUGGAUUUAGGUAACAGAUGUACAGGAUAGGUGGGAGACUUAGAGUAUAGGGCGUCAGCCUUGUAGGAGUCAACGUUGGGAUACCACCCUUGUGUUGCUUGAAUUCUAACUAGAAUCAUUGAAUCAUGAUAUAGGACACUGCUUGGCAGGCAGUUUGACUGGGGCGGUCGCCUCCCAAAGAGU